CAUGUCCUUUUGAUUUUAUUUAAGGUCUGACCUGCUCGAUGAAGUUUAAAUUGCCGCAGUAUUUUAACUGUGCGAAGGUAGCAUAAUAAUUAGCCUUUUGAUUAAAGGCUUGUAUGAAAGGUUGAACAAGAAAAUUUCUGUCUCUUUCUAAGUAUUGUUGAAUUUUAUUUUUAAGUUAAAAAGCUUAAAUUUUCUUAAAAGACGAGAAGACCCUAUAGAGUUUUAUAUUUCUUUUUAUUAGUUUUGUUAGUAAGGUGAAUAAAAAGAAUUAUUUGGUUGGGGUGACCUGGAAAUUUAAUUAAUUUUUUUAAUUGUUAAUUGAUGAUUUUUAAUUGUUUUAUCUGAAUAUUUUAAACUUAAAAUAAAUUACCUUAGGGAUAACAGCGUAAUUUUUUUUUGAAAGUUCAAAUUUAGAAAAGAGUUUGCGACCUCGAUGUUGGAUUAAAAUUAAUUUUUGGCGCAGUAGCUUUAGGAUUAGGUCUGUUCGACCUUUAAUAUUUUACAUGAUCUGAGUUUAGACCGGCGUGAGCCAGGUUAGAUUCUAUCUUUAAUUAUUAUUAUUUUAUUUUAGUACGAAAGGACCAAUUAGAAAUUAAAUUAAUUG
rnacentral:rRNA from 1 species